rnacentral:misc_RNA from 1 species
GCACUAAUGAAUUCCAGUGUGGAAACUUAAGAAAUUUGAGUUUUCCUUUCUACAAAUCCACUGAACUUGAUUGUGGAUUGUCGAAAGUUUAUUGUGAUGAUACUGAAAAUCCCAUGAUUGAAUUGGAUGGGGUGAAAUAUCAAGCUAUCGAAAAAAGUGAUGUUUUUAUCAAACUUAAGGACUCUAGUCUUGGAGAACUUUUGAAGAAGAACAGUUGUCAGACUUUUGAUAAAAAUUUCUCAAUCGUUAUUUCUCCUUCAAUAACAUAUAGAUU